GACGAACGCNGGCGGCGUGCCUAAUACAUGCAAGUAGAACGCUGAAGGAGGAGCUUGCUUCUCUGGAUGAGUUGCGAACGGGUGAGUAACGCGUAGGUAACCUGCCUGGUAGCGGGGGAUAACUAUUGGAAACGAUAGCUAAUACCGCAUAAUAGCAGUUAUUGCAUGAUAACUGUUUGAAAGGUGCAAUUGCACCACUACCAGAUGGACCUGCGUUGUAUUAGCUAGUUGGUGGGGUAACGGCUCACCAAGGCGACGAUACAUAGCCGACCUGAGAGGGUGAUCGGCCACACUGGGACUGAGACACGGCCCAGACUCCUACGGGAGGCAGCAGUAGGGAAUCUUCGGCAAUGGACGGAAGUCUGACCGAGCAACGCCGCGUGAGUGAAGAAGGUUUUCGGAUCGUAAAGCUCUGUUGUAAGAGAAGAACGAGUGUGAGAGNGGAAAGUUCACACNGNGACG
rnacentral:rRNA from 1 species